CCUCAAGCAAAGUAAUGAAAAAGUCUCAAUCCGGUGAAGUCUGUUGCCCUAACUUAUUUCUAACUCCAAACACUUGUUUUUGUUUGUUUGUUUGUUUUUUUGCAACUCAAUAAAAGGAGACUCAGGUGACACCACUUCAAACAUGAUCUGAUUACUGACAGUUUUCAUCAGAGCCGCAAACAAUAUAAACCAAAUUUUUAGCAUCCACAGUGGUCAACGCAGGAGCAAAUAUCAGAACAUGUAUCCAUAAGCUGAAUCCCAAAGGUUUCUGCAAUGUUGUGUGUGGUGUACAAAGAUUCAUAUUCACUGCUGUGCCUCUCUGUGACUGUUUUCAGGUUGUGCCAGGGCGCAAAUAACGUUGAAUACCUGCUCAGGCGUUCUUGCAUAAGGGAGGAUUCUGCUGCUUCAAGAUUUGUUCAUUAUUGACUGAAGACAAACACCAGACACUUUCAGAGGACAAUAAUGUUUGGAUUAUGCAGUUACUCACUUUGCCCACUUUUCAAAAUAAUGGAGGGGCUUUACUUUGUCUACAGAAAUAACAGCUAUGCAUGAUAAGCAUUAAUAAAUUGUACUCAAUAAAAUCUUUGUGACGAUCA